AGGGUUUGAUCCUGGCUCAGAUUGAACGCUGGCGGCAUGGUUAAGACAUGCAAGUCGAACGAUUAAAGCUCCUUCGGGAGUGUAUAAAGUGGCGAAAGGGCGAGGAAUACGUUCCUACGUACCCCGAGGUCAGGGAUAGCCCAGGGAAACCUGGAGUAAUACCUGAUGUGGUCUUCGGAUCAAAGAUUUAUCGCACCUUGGGAGCAAGGAACGUGCUAUCAGAUAGUUGGUAAGGUAAUGGCUUACCAAGUCUAAGACGGCUAGCGGGUGUGAGAGCACGACCCGCCGCAUCGGGACUGAGACACUGCCCGGACUCCUACGGGAGGCUGCAGUAACGAAUAUUCCGCAAUGCGCGAAAGCGUGACGGAGCAAUGCCGCGUGUGGGAUUAAGCACUUCGGUGUGUAAACCACUGUCAGAAUUUAGGAAUAAAAUGACCAGAUUCAAAGGAAGGGCCGGCUAACUCUGUGCCAGCAGCCGCGGUAAUACAGAGGGCCCGAGCGUUAAUCGGAAUCACUGGGCUUAAAGAGUUCGUAGGCUGACAUGUAGGUACUUUGUGAAAUCCCACCGCUCAACGGUGGAACUGCUGGGUAUACCGCAUGUCUUGAGACAGGUAGGGGUCGUCGGAACGAUAGGUGGAGUGGUGAAAUGCGUUGAUAUCUAUCGGAACGCCGAAGGAGAAGUCAGGCGACUGGGCCUGUUCUGACGCUGAGGUACGAAAGCGUGGGUAGCGAACGGGAUUAGAUACCCCGGUAGUCCACGCCGUAAACGAUGUGCACUAGGUUGGGGACGUACUGACACGUUUCCUGGCCGAAGCGAAAGUGUUAAGUGCACCGCCUGGGGAGUACGGUCGCAAGGCUAAAACUCAAAGGAAUUGACGGGGGCUCACACAAGCGGUGGAGCAUGUGGCUUAAUUCGAAGCAACGCGAAGAACCUUAUCCUGGGUUUGACAUGUAUGGAUUAACUCCGUGAAAGCGGAGCCACGCCUUCGGGUGGAACAUACACAGGUGCUGCAUGGCUGUCGUCAGCUCGUGCUGUGAAGUGUCGGGUUAAGUCCCUUAACGAGCGCAACCCCUAUCGUUAGUUACUAGCACGUAAUGGUGGGGACUCUAGCGAGACUGCCGGUGUCAAACCGGAGGAAGGUGGGGAUGACGUCAAGUCCGCAUGGCCUUUAUGCCCAGGGCUGCACACGUGCUACAAUGGCCGGUACAGAACGACGCAAUACCGCGAGGUGGAGCAAAUCGCAAAAGCCGGCCCCAGUUCGGAUUGGAGGCUGCAAUUCGCCUCCAUGAAGUUGGAAUCGCUAGUAAUCGUGGAUCAGCUACGCCACGGUGAAUACGUUCCUGAGCCUUGUACACACCGCCCGUCAAGUCAUGGAAGCUGGUAGCACCCGAAGUCGCCAUAAUUCAAUGGUGCCCACGGUGAGACUGGUGACUGGGACUAAGUCGUAACAAGGUAGCCG
rnacentral:rRNA from 1 species